UUUCAUGAUGAUCUUUUAUAUUCACACUGUCUUAGAACGUUUAACUACUUCGGUGAUUACUAAAACAAAAAAACUGAUUUAAUGACUCUGAUA
rfam:Cyberlindnera jadinii strain CBS1600 genome assembly, contig: CJ4